GAGCACGUAGGUGGGUUUGUAAGUCAGAUGUGAAAGCCUCCUGUUCAACGGGAGAAUUGCAUCUGAAACUGCGAAUCUUGAGUGUAGGAGGGGAGAAUGGAACUUCUGGUGGAGCGGUGAAAUGCGUAGAUAUCAGAAGGAACGCCGGCGGCGAAAGCGAUUCUCUGGCCUAUUACUGACACUCAGUGUGCGAAAGCUGGGGGAGCAAACGGGAUUAGAUACCCCGGUAGUCCUAGCCGUAAACGAUGGGCACUAAGUAGAGGGAAUUACCGAUAUUCUCUCUGCCGUAGCUAACGCAUUAAGUGCCCCGCCUGGGGAGUACGGCCGCAAGGCUAAAACUCAAAAGAAUUGACGGGGGCUCGCACAAGCGGUGGAGCAUGUGGCUUAAUUCGAUGCAACGCGAAAAACCUUACCGGGGCUUGACAUGGUAGAAGUAGGAACCCGAAAGGGUGACGAACGGUAUCCAGUCCGUAGCUAUUACAGGUGUUGCAUGGCUGUCGUCAGCUCGUGUCGUGAGACGUUGGGUUAAGUCCCCUAACGAGCGAAACCCUUGUUUUUAGUUGCCAGCGGGUUAAGCCGGGCACUCUAGAAAGACUGCCGUCGUCAAGACGGAGGAAGGUGGGGAUGACGUCAAGUCAUCAUGGCCCUUAUGCCCCGGGCUGCACACGUGCUACAAUGGUCGGUACAAACGGAAGCGAAGCCGAGAGGUGAAGCGAAUCC
rnacentral:rRNA from 1 species